GAGAAAACCAAAACAAAUGUCAGCUUUAUUUUUUAAAGAUUUAGUUGUUGGAAUGGACAAGCAAAACAAGUCUCAGCAAGGCAUCCAAUAAUUAUUCACACUAAAAUAUCAGCUCAGUUUUGCUUCUGGAAAGCAUUCCUAUUCUCUCUUUGGAGGAAAAGAGUUGUAUCUAAACUCAUUCAUUCCACGUAUAGCAAAACAGACAACUAGAAACUCAGGUUCUAGUCUUUGUUUCUCAAAUUAAUAGGCCUAGUAUUUCUAAUCCUCAUUUUUUCUGACUCAUAAAAUGUGGUUGAUGGAUAUGAAUAUCAAGUAAUUUGACAUGUACAAAUGUGUGCAGUACAAAAGCCAAGUAUUAUUCCAGCAUGAAAUUAUUAAUGGCUCAUUGCUCAUAUACUCUUAUUCAUUAUGAAACCUAGAAUCCUAGAAAGGUAGAGACAGAAUAAAGCAAGUGUCAAUAAAUAUUAUUGGUAAAGGAACCUUUACCUUUGCUCUUCUUUGCUUUAUUAUUUCUUCUGAAAGACCACAAAGAUCACUCCUCUUUCUUUUUUCUCCAGCUGCCCCAGCACAUUUUGAUCUUCUGAAGUCCUUCCCCAUCAGCCUGCCAGUAGAGAACCCUCACAUUAUGGACCAUGAUCUGAAACACCGAUGCAGACAAAGACAUCCCCAGGCACUCAGUGUCAAGUAGAUCAUUUGUAAAUUAAGGAAACUCUUGACAAGUACCUGCAAUUUUAAUAUUCUUCUGCUUCUCAAAGGAAGAAAAAAUCACCUUAGGUCAUUUCCGGCAGAUAAAAUUUGGAUCUCCUGUAUAUACUGGAUGAAAAGGGACAUGUAUGAAUUAGCUUUUACUGCACUCUAUAUUGCAAAAAGAUUAUAGCUUGCCAUAAACUUAACUCAUAAAAUGACAUUCAGUGUAAGUUAUUUCUUUUCAGAGAGAUUCCCAUGGAAUGCCUGUAGUUUUAAAAUAGUUCUCAUUGUUUAUUGAACUACUUGAAAGAAAUCAAAAGUGAUUAUGCUUAUGUUUUCUUAAAGAAGAAAAAAAGUUAGAUUUUAAUCUCUUCAUGCUCCCUCUAUGAGAGUAUGUUCCAGCUGAGAAAUGGGACAAAACAGGAAAUACUUUAUGAUUUUUUUUUAUGUGAAAGGGGGACCAUAGCAUCACUUCUGUUUAGUUUAUAAUUUUUCAAGUGUUGCCAGCCUUUCAUCCCCUCCUGAUGGGGUACUUCUUAACUUUCAUCAUACACAGUUAUACAAAUGGGUACUAACAGAGGAAAAAUUACAUGAAUUAUUUAGGAAAGCCAAGUUCUUUAAGCAUUACUGUGAAAAAUAACAUUCUUAUCAUUUGUGUAUAAAAAGCCAACAUUUACUUAUUCUGGAUAAAAAUGAAAUAUGUUCUUAUGCCAGUUAUUGAAAAAUUUGUAUAUAGACAUGAUACCAUGUAUAUAUAAUAUAUUAUAUUUAAUGAAUAAAAUAACUU
rnacentral:lncRNA from 1 species